AUUGAACGCUGGCGGCAGGCCUAACACAUGCAAGUCGAACGAGUGGCGGACGGGUGAGUAAUGUCUGGGAAACUGCCUGAUGGAGGGGGAUAACUAAUGGAAACGGUAGCUAAUACCGCAUACCAUCAGAUGUGCCCAUAUGGGAUUAGCUAGUUGGUGGGGUAACGGCUCACCAAGGCGACGAUCCCUAGCUGGUCUGAUAGGAUGACCAGCCACACUGUAACUGAGACACGGUCUAGACUCCUACGGGAGGCAUCAGUGGGGAAUAUUGCACAAUGGGCGCAAGCCUGAUGCGGCCAUGCGGCGUGUGUGAAGAAGGCCUUCGGGUUGUAAAGUACUUUCAGUGGGGAGGCGUUACCCGCAGAAGAAGCACCGGCUAACUCCGUGCCAGCAGCCGCGGUAAUUC
rnacentral:rRNA from 1 species